UUUUUUUUUUUUUUUUUUUUUUUCCUUUUUUUCGCUAACUUCAUCUACACAGACAAGCAUAAAG
rnacentral:ribozyme from 1 species